rnacentral:rRNA from 1 species
AUGGUUGGACAAAAACCUCCUGUUGGCACGAGAUGGAUUGUCACCGGCGACUUCAACCAAGUCUAUCGGGCCAGAGAUAAGAACCGUACAAAUGUCGAUCGCAGCCGCAUUGUCCGCUUCCGCAACGCCCUCAAUGCUUGUGAGCUAAAGGAAAUACACUUGCAGAAUAGGAAAUUCACAUGGAGCAAUCAACAAGUAAACCCGACCAUGAGCAAACUUGAUAGCUUCUUUUGCAAUGAAGAUUGGGUCAUUCAGUUUGGUUCCCACCUUCUCCACGCAUUGUCAUCUUCAUUGUCCGACCACUGUCCUCUACUCCUCGCUAGUGAUGUGGGGCCCUCCCGGCCAAAAUGCUUCCGCUUUGAAAACUUUUGGAUCAAGAUGCCUAACUUCAAGAAGAUUGUUCAAGAUGCUUGGAAUGAGAGAGUCCCCCAUGUCGAGCCAUGUCAAAUCCUCUUUCACAAGCUAAAAAGAGUUAGUCAACGCCUUCGCACUUGGAGCAAAAAGAUCUUCUCAAACCAUAAGGUCCAACUUCACAUGGCCCUUGACAUCAUUCUUAGAUUGGAUUUGGCCCAAGGAAGUAGAACAUUGAGCUCUGAGGAGAGGGACCUUCGAAGGAAGCUCAAAAGAAAGAUUGUGGCCCUUGCCGUUCUUGAGAGAGCUAGAAAGAGACAAAGCUCUAGGAGAAAGGCUAUCGCCUCCUUGUUCAUGCUCAUGUCUUGGGAGAUUUGGAAAGAGCGUAAUGGAAGGGUUCUCCGUAACAUCGCCGCUACGACGAUGAUGCUCAUCGCGAAGAUAAAAGAGGAGGCCCAUCUUUGGGCUAUUGCCGCUGCCACCCACUUGAGUAUUCUAAUGCCGCGAGAGUAG